GAUGAACGCUGGCGGCGUGCCUAAUACAUGCAAGUCGAGCGAACAGACGAGGCGCUUGCUCCUCUGACGUUAGCGGAGGACGGGUGAGUAACACGUGGAUAACCUACCUAUAAGACUGGGAUAACUACGGGAAACCGGAGCUAAUCCCGGAUAAUAUAUUGAACCGCAUGGUUCAAUAGUGAAAGUCGGUUUUGCUGUCACUUAUAGAUGGAUCCGCGCCGCAUUAGCUAGUUGGUAAGGUAACGGCUUACCAAGGCGACGAUGCGUAGCCGACCUAAGAGGGGGAUCGGCCACACUGGAACUGAGACACGGUCCAGACUCCUACGAUAGGCAGCAGUAGGGAAUCUGCCGCAAUGGGCGAAAGCCUGACGGAGCGACGCCACGUGAGUGAUGGAGGUCUUCGGAUCGGAAAACUCUGUUAUUGGGGAUAAACAAAUGUGUAAGUAGCUAUACACGUCUUGACGGUACCUAAUCAGAAAGCCACGGCUAACUACGUG
rnacentral:rRNA from 1 species